GAUGAACGCUGGCGGCGUGCCUAAUACAUGCAAGUCGAACGAGUUCUGAUUAUUGAAAGGUGCUUGCAUCUUGAUUUAAUUUUGAACGAGUGGCGGACGGGUGAGUAACACGUGGGUAACCUGCCCUUAAGUGGGGGAUAACAUUUGGAAACAGAUGCUAAUACCGCAUAAAUCCAAGAACCGCAUGGUUCUUGGCUGAAAGAUGGCGUAAGCUAUCGCUUUUGGAUGGACCCGCGGCGUAUUAGCUAGUUGGUGAGGUAACGGCUCACCAAGGCAAUGAUACGUAGCCGAACUGAGAGGUUGAUCGGCCACAUUGGGACUGAGACACGGCCCAAACUCCUACGGGAGGCAGCAGUAGGGAAUCUUCCACAAUGGACGCGAGUCUGAUGGAGCAACGCCGCGUGAGUGAAGAAGGCUUUGGGUCGUAAAACUCUGUUGUUGGAGAAGAAUGGUCGGCAGAGUAACUGUUGUCGGCGUGACGGUAUCCAACCAGAAAGCCACGGCUAACUACGUGCCAGCAGCCGCGGUAAUACGUAGGUGGCAAGCGUUAUCCGGAUUUAUUGGGCGUAAAGCGAGCGCAGGCGGUUUUUUAAGUCUGAUGUGAAAGCCCUCGGCUUAACCGAGGAAGUGCAUCGGAAACUGGGAAACUUGAGUGCAGAAGAGGACAGUGGAACUCCAUGUGUAGCGGUGAAAUGCGUAGAUAUAUGGAAGAACACCAGUGGCGAAGCGGCUGUCUGGUCUGUAACUGACGCUGAGGCUCGAAAGCAUGGGUAGCGAACAGG
rnacentral:rRNA from 1 species